CUACAGAGAUCAGAGUACUGACUCAUCUGUCUGCCACAGUUCACAAUAUGUCCUUUUCCCCACUUGUUUGGUAUUUUUUCUUUCUUCUCUUAUAUAUUUUGUAGGAGGUUUAUCAAAACGUCCACUGUCGUCUUCAAGUCUGCUGAACAGCAGAAGCCACAUCCCUGACCCAAAGGCCAGCCUUCUGCCAAAUCGCUGCUCCAGAACAUGGUGUGGUAGAGCUUCGCAAAGAAAGCUUGAAGAAAUAUUUUAACAUUGCAAACCAAUGUAAUAUGCCCUAACCUGGUUCUCAGAAAUCAGUGAAUCGUUUUGAGUGACAUUUCUAAACCAGUUCAUUCCAAGACAGACAUUUAGCGUGGAAAAUUUCAGCACAAGCGUUAAAAGUUUGGCACAAUUAUGAGCUGAAAACUGGGUCUUCUAAUGGGAACUGUCAGGCAACUUGAAUAAAAGGCAGUGCUACCAGCUCCUGCUAUAAUUAAGAAAUACCAAAUCUGAUGUGUAAAAUUUGUCAUGACAGUUAAGCAGUUAGAAAGGUUUAGACACUAACUUUUCUGAGGAGAAGUUGAAGGGUACAGAUUUAGGAUAUCGUAUCCUGGCGUAAGUUUAUUUAGUAGCAACGGGCUCAAAUAAAAAUCCCUGAUUCAG